ACGGAAGGCAGCAGUGGGGAAUAUUGCACAAUGGGGGAAACCCUGAUGCAGCGACGCCGCGUGAGCGAAGAAGUAUUUCGGUAUGUAAAGCUCUAUCAGCAGGGAAGAAAAUGACGGUACCUGACUAAGAAGCCCCGGCUAACUACGUGCCAGCAGCCGCGGUAAUACGUAGGGGGCAAGCGUUAUCCGGAUUUACUGGGUGUAAAGGGAGCGUAGACGGCAAGGUAAGUCUGAAGUGAAAUGCCGGGGCUCAACCCCGGAACUGCUUUGGAAACUAUCUCGCUCGAGUGCCGGAGGGGUAAGCGGAAUUCCUAGUGUAGCGGUGAAAUGCGUAGAUAUUAGGAGGAACACCAGUGGCGAAGGCGGCUUACUGGACUGUAACUGACGUUGAGGCUCGAAAGCGUGGGGAGCAAACAGGAUUAGAUACCCUGGUA
rnacentral:rRNA from 1 species